AACGUAGGAGACAAACGUUAUCCGGAGUUACUGGGCGUAAAGGGCGUGUAGGCGGUCUGUUAAGUCUGGCGUGAAAGCUCUCGGCUAAACCGGGAGAGGUCGUUGGAUACUGGCACGACUAGAGGAUGGUAGAGGCGUGUGGAAUUCCGGGUGUAGUGGUGAAAUGCGUAGAGAUCUGGAGGAACACCGGUGGCGAAGGCGACGUCCUGGACCGGCAUUGACGCUGAGGCGCGAAAGCCAGGGGAGCAAACGGG
rnacentral:rRNA from 1 species